ACGAGCUGCUCUGCUUUGGGUUGCUGUGGCCAGCAAAUCCGGGCUCUGGGCGGCUAAAUAACAUACUAUAACAUCGGAAUAUUUCAAUACCAGAGCCAACCUCACUAAUCAGUCGGUAUCAGCUUAGUUUAAUGUGUUGCCGUGAAGCCUUAACUAUCUCUCUCUCCCUCUCAGACCAAAGAAAAAAGAGACAGCCAAGACACUGUCACCCCGUUCGACAUCAUCAACAAACAAAAACCCCACAAAGAGACGAACCAGCCAGCCAGCCAGCCAGCCACCAUCUUAACAGGCUGCUGAAAGAGACACACACUGAGAGAAAAGAGGCUAAUGCUUAUUUUGAUCAACAGGUUGUUAAGGUGACGGUGGACUCUGACAACUGCGACAGAGGACCUAAACCAGAACCAAUAAAAUAAAAAAGACAGGACAGCAAGAAGGGCAGCCUGCAUAAUACUUCUUACACGGAUCUACAACACACUUGAUCAAACUCAAAGCUGUAUUGCCCAGCUGUUAAGCAUAAGAGGAGCCACGGCCUGGACCAAAGGUAGCCGAUACAGCGUGGAGUGUAAGACCUUCUUAAACAAAAGUCAAAGAAGCUGAACAGUUUUUAUUCUGAUCUUCACGGACCUGUGUGGAGUUACGUGGACCUGAUAAAGAAAUGGAGGGAUAUUAGUUUGGGCCUGACGCCUGGUUUCUGCUUCCUAUUAUCGUGUGGAGUACAGACGGCCGGUAGCCCAACUGCUGGCUGCUGCUGGACAGACCGGCGCGGUGUUUGGUCGGAUCGAGCCGCUUUCACAGAGCUGAUGCCAAGGCCAGGAGUCAGCCAUGAUGUUUUUAUAACCUGAUGAUCAGCAGAGAGAUGGUGAGGAAGAAGAAUCCCCCUAUCAGGAGUGUGGGAGGUGAGGAGGAGGAGGAGGAAGAAGAGGGGAGGAGGCCAGCAG